GGGGUUGUGGCUCAGCGGUAGAGCACUUGCCUAGCAUGCAGGAGGCACUGGGUUGGAGUCUCAGCACCUCCU
rfam:Ictidomys tridecemlineatus contig088871, whole genome shotgun sequence.